rnacentral:rRNA from 1 species
UACAGAGGGUGCGAGCGUUAAUCGGAAUUACUGGGCGUAAAGCGUGCGUAGACGGUUAUUUAAGUCGAGUGUGAAAGCCCCCGGCUCAACUGGGGAGGGUCAUUCGAAACUGGUCGACUCGAAGGCAGGAGAGGGUAGUGGAAUUCCCGGUGUAGUGGUGAAAUGCGUAGAUAUCGGGAGGAACACCAGUGGCGAAGGCGACUACCUGGCCUGUUCUUGACGCUGAGGCGCGAAAGCUAGGGGAGCAAACGGG